GACGAACGCUGGCGGCGUGCUUAACACAUGCAAGUCGAACGAUGAAGCCGGAGCUUGCUCUGGUGAAUUAGUGGCGAACGGGUGAGUAACACGUGAGUAACCUGCCCUUGACUCUGGGAUAACUGCUAGAAAUGGUAGCUAAUACCGGAUACGACCCUCGGAGGCAUCUCCAGGGGGUGGAAAGAAUUUCGGUCAAGGAUGGACUCGCGGCCUAUCAGCUAGUUGGUGAGGUAACGGCUCACCAAGGCGACGACGGGUAGCCGGCCUGAGAGGGUGACCGGGCACACUGGGACUGGGACACGGCCCAGACUCCUACGGGAGGCAGCAGUGGGGAAUAUUGCACAGUGGGCGCAAGCCUGAUGCAGCAACGCCGCGUGAGGGAUGACGGCCUUCGGGUUGUAAACCUCUUUUAGUAGGGAAGAAGCGAAAGUGACGGUACCUGCAGAAAAAGCACCGGCUAACUACGUGCCAGCCGCCGCGGUAACAC
rnacentral:rRNA from 1 species